CUCUCUCCUCCUUUUCUCAUUUCCCGAGCCAAAUUUGAUCUUCCAUAGUUUCUCUUUUACUUCUCUUCAUGCAUCUAUCCAUUCCCAAUCUUGUCAAUGCGCGGAGCAAUUACUGAAGGGAGGUGCAGGUGUUGAUCCAAAUUGAAAUGGCGGACCAGAUGGAAUAAAAGCUCUAUCACUUGCAGCCGAAAAGGAGGUAGUAUAAAUCAUUAAGCUACUGGUUGAAGCUGAUGCAGAUCCAAAUAUAUUACAGUUUCUGUUGGCAUUCAGCAGUUUCCAACUUUCAUGAAGUGGUGCUCCAAAAUAUGUAGUUUCUGUUGGCAUUCAGCAGUCUUCCGGGUAAAUACUCUACACGUGUAGAGUACUCAUUGUGGUGCAACCCUUGAAACACUACAUCAGUGGAGGUUUAUUCGCAUCUCUACCAGAAGAAACUCAAUGAAUGGGACCAAGAUGUAUAGAACUGGGAGGAAAAAGACCAGCAAGAGAUGGAGAGAGUGCGCCUGAAAGUUCGUUUGAAAGAGUCUGUUUCAUCUUAUCAACCAUUGUUUGUUGAGAUAAUUAGAGACCCAGAGGUGUGUAUUACCAUGCAUUCCAUCCCCUUGCAUCAGUCGUGGGUUCACCAAGUUUGUCCAUUAGGUAGACAGAAGUAGUUGUGCCUAUGGCCAAAGAAAGAAGAGCAGAGCAGCUGCAAAUUAGUGUGCAGAAUGUGGUGUGGCAGGGGACAGGAUUUGGCAUACAAACCCAAGAUAUCUUUGAAUGUGAGUCAGUAUUCAAGUCAAACCCAGUCCAACAGCCUAUUUUUCAUAGUAAUUUACUAUGGUGCUAAAAAGGAGUAGCAGGAGGUGGAUUUCAGAAAUCUCCACUCAUAUCAUUAUGGUGCUUGUCAAGAUGCACAGGCGUCUGGAUUCCCGUUGCUGAAUGAGAUUGUAAUUUUGAGUGAUAUUGGUGUUCGGAAUUUUGAGGAUGUUAUCCUUCAUUGCACAUUUUGUGCUUGUGCCUCUUGUGUUUGGAAAUCUGAGUGUGGAUAUACUUGCUAUUGCGUUCGUGCAGUUUGAUGAAUUGUGGAUUUGAACAUGUGAAACUGAAACAAUUUCAGAAGACAGUAGGCAAAAUGACAAUCAAUAUUAAGCUUUUCCUA